rnacentral:lncRNA from 1 species
ACUACAAGAAAAUAGACAUAUACCUACAGUAGCUUAUAGUAACAAAAUUAAAAACUGUAGGUAUAGAUAAACUAUACCCACAGAUAAAUUAUUAUUGUUGGUAUAGGUUUCUUAUACCUUCGGUAACAUAAAUUUGUCGCUAAUUGUUAUAGUUACACAAUUAAAUUUGUGGCUAUAGACAUCAAAAUUUUAAAAUUAAUAUUUUUUAACUCAGCCAAAAUCUUAAUUAUUUGUAAUAAUAAUUUUGUAUAAAUAUUUGUUCAAUGUAAGCAAAAAUAAUUUAUUUGAGGCAAAAUCCUAUUUUUUUAAUACACCAAAUUUCAAUGGAGCCAAAAUCUUAAUUUUUUAAAUGGGGGCAAAAAAAUUUCAAUUAAGCUAAAAUCAAAAUUUUUUAAAUGAAGCCCAAACAAAAAUUUAAUGGAGUAAAAAAAAAAAUAAUAGAGCCAAAAUGUUAAUCAGUACCAAAUAAACCCUUUCCCCCCAAAACCCCCAAAACCCCUAAAACCUAAAAUGAGUAACAGAUCUUCCCUUUCUCCCCAAAACCCCUAAAACCUAAAAUAAGUAACAGACCUUCUUCUUCUUCUCGCCGUCGACCAACCAAUC